GACGAACGCUGGCGGCGUGCCUAAUACAUGCAAGUAGAACGCUGAAGCGAGGAGCUUGCUCUUCUUGGAUGAGUUGCGAACGGGUGAGUAACGCGUAGGUAACCUGCCUUGUAGCGGGGGAUAACUAUUGGAAACGAUAGCUAAUACCGCAUAACAAUGGAUGACACAUGUCAUUUAUUUGAAAGGGGCAAUUGCUCCACUACAAGAUGGACCUGCGUUGUAUUAGCUAGUAGGUGAGGUAAUGGCUCACCUAGGCGACGAUACAUAGCCGACCUGAGAGGGUGAUCGGCCACACUGGGACUGAGACACGGCCCAGACUCCUACGGGAGGCAGCAGUAGGGAAUCUUCGGCAAUGGGGGCAACCCUGACCGAGCAACGCCGCGUGAGUGAAGAAAGGUUUCGGAUCGUAAAGCUCUGUUGUAAGUCAAGAACGGGUGUGAGAGUGGAAAGUUCACACUGUGACGGUAGCUUACCAGAAAGGGACGGCUAACUACGUG
rnacentral:rRNA from 1 species